UACGUAGGGUGCAAGCGUUGCCCGGAUUUAUUGGGCGUAAAGGGCGCGCAGGCGGCUACGCACGUCCGUUGUGAAAUCGCUCGGCUCAACUGGGCGGGGUCGGCGGAUACGGCGUAGCUGGAGCAAGCUAGGGGGCAAUGGAAUUCCCGGUGUAGUGGUGGAAUGCGUAGAUAUCGGGAGGAACACCAGUGGCGAAGGCGGUUGCCUGGAGCUUUGCUGACGCUGAGGCGCGAAAGCGUGGGGAGCGAUCCGG
rnacentral:rRNA from 1 species